UACGUAGGUGGCAAGCGUUAUCCGGAAUUAUUGGGCGUAAAGAGCGCGCAGGCGGUCCCUUAAGUCUGAUGUGAAAGCCCACGGCUUAACCGUGGAGGGUCAUUGGAAACUGGAGGACUUGAGUACAGAAGAGGAGAGUGGAAUUCCAUGUGUAGCGGUGAAAUGCGUAGAGAUGUGGAGGAACACCAGUGGCGAAGGCGACUCUCUGGUCUGUAACUGACGCUGAGGUGCGAAAGCGUGGGUAGCGAACAGGAUUAGAUA
rnacentral:rRNA from 1 species